UACAGAGACUGCAAGCGUUAUUCGGAUUCACUGGGCGUAAAGGGUGCGCAGGCGGUCGUGUGUGUCAGAUGUGAAAUCCCGGAGCUUAACUCCGGAACUGCGUCUGAAACUACACGGCUAGAGCAUUGGAGAGGGUAGCAGAAUUCAUGGUGUAGCAGUGAAAUGCGUAGAUAUCAUGAGGAAUACCAGAGGCGAAGGCGGCUACCUGGACAAUUGCUGACGCUCAGGCACGAAAGCGUGGGGAGCAAAAGGG
rnacentral:rRNA from 1 species